GCAGACUGUCAUCUGAGAGCUUCUGCAGUGGAGAGUGGACUCAGUGACCGACUGGAGUUUCCUUCUUCGCUGUGAAGCCUCACAUACUCAGGUGUGACGGCGGCGAUGACCCAUUCCAGUCCUCCAGAAAUUCUGGCGGGCCCCUCCUGACCCCAAAUGCCAACCUGCAGCCCAGAGAAAGUCAGACUCUGACCCGCUUCCUUCCCGUCCCGUGACUCCGAUGAAGAUUGAUGGGACGUCCUGCCAAAGCGCUCCCUGGGGAGAACCCGGAUGAGUGGAAGUGUCCAACAACGCCCAGGAGACAGAGGAGCAAAGGGCUGUCAUUUGUCAGAAGAUCCCAAGAAGAACCUUAAUGUGUCGUCUGAACCUUAGAUGAAGGAGACCUUCAGGACUUUUUCACCAAACCGCAGGAAUAAAUCUUAAAUUCUAUCAACAUUAUGCAAAGUUUAACCGGACAAAUGAAGAUCAAGACAAACCUGAAGGCUUUGUACACCGGCCGGUACCAACACACGAACGAACAAGGCGUGUAGAGGAGGACCCAGAGAAUGGACAGGCCCAAACCAACGCCUCCUCCUGACGGGUCCACGCAGAAGUUUGCAAAGGAGGAGAUCAGGUUGAAGAGGAGCGUGGCGGAGCAGACUAACCGUCAUCACCGGAGAGAUCAAACAGACAGAAUGAAAACCAGAAA